rnacentral:rRNA from 1 species
AGCAGCCGCGGUAAUUCCAGCUCCAAUAGCGUAUAUUAAAGUUGUUGCAGUUAAAAAGCUCGUAGUUGAAUUUCGGGAUCAAUUCGUCGGUCGUGCUUUUUUGGUACGUACUGGCGUUAUUGGUUUCUCCUUCUGACGAACCAUGAUGUCAUUAAUUUGGUGUUAUGAGGGGUUAGGACUGUUACUUUGAAAAAAUUAGAGUGUUUAAAGCAGGCAUUAGCUUGAAUACAUUAGCAUGGAAUAAUGAAAUAGGACGUUCGAACCUAUUUUGUUGGUUUCUAGGAUCAACGUAAUGAUUAAUAGGGAUAGUUGGGGGCAUUAGUAUUCAAUUGUCAGAGGUGAAAUUCUUAGGAUUUAUUGAAGACUAACUACUGCGAAAGCAUUUGCCAAGGAUGUUUUCAUUAAUCAAGAACGAAAGUUAGGGGAUCGAAGACGAUCAGAUACCGUCGUAGUCUUAACCAUAAACUAUGCCGACUAGGGAUCGGAUGAUGUUAAUUUUUAAUGUACUCUAUUCGGCGUC